GACGAACGCUGGCGGCGUGCCUAACACAUGCAAGUUGAGCGACGAACCAGGGCUUGCCCUGGGGCAAAGCAGCGAACGGGUGAGUAACACGUGGGUAACCUACCCCGAUAACCGGGACAACCCGAGGAAACUCGGGCUAAUACCGGAUGUGCUCACUGAACUUCGGUUCAGUGCGUAAAGAAAGCUUCGGCCUCCGUAUCGGGAGGGGCCCGCGGCCCAUUAGCUAGUUGGUGAGGUAACGGCUCACCAAGGCCGCGAUGGGUAGCUGGUCUGAGGGGACGAUCAGCCACACUGGGACUGAGACACGGCCCAGACUCCUACGGGAGGCAGCAGUGGGGAAUCUUGCGCAAUGCGCGAAAGCGUGACGCAGCAACGCCGCGUGGGGGAAGAAGGCCUUCGGGUUGUAAACCCCUUUCAGGAGGGACGAAGGUUCGGCGGUGAAUAGCCGUCCGGACUGACGGUACCUCCACAAGAAGCCCCGGCUAACUACGUGCCAGCCGCCGCAGUAA
rnacentral:rRNA from 1 species